GUGGAUAUGGCUCAGUAGUAGAGCACUUGCCUAGCAUGCAUGAGGCCCUGGGAAUAAUUCCCAGCACU
rnacentral:tRNA from 1 species